GAGCGGGUGGAUGUCAAUGAGAGCUCAUUGACUGUUCCCUUGAUAUAUAGCCGCUCAGC
ensembl:miRNA gmo-mir-11265 gmo-mir-11265